GGGCCCAUAGUUUAAUCUGGAUAGAACAAUCGGCUACGGACCGAUAAAUGGGGGUUCAAAUCCUCCUGGGCUCG
rnacentral:tRNA from 1 species